rnacentral:rRNA from 1 species
GACGAACCGUGCGAACGUUAUUCGGAAUCACUGGGCUUAAAGCGCGUGUAGGCGGCCCGGCACGUCCGUCGCUGAAAUCCCCCGGCUCAACCGGGGAAGUGGCGUGGAUACGACCGGGCUGGAGGGGGGUAGGGGGAGCCGGAACUUCCGGUGGAGCGGUGAAAUGCGUAGAGAUUGGAAAGAACACCGAUGGCGAAGGCACUUUACUGGGCUAUUACUAACACUCAGAGACGAAAGCUAGGGUAGCAAAUGGG